rnacentral:tRNA from 1 species
GUAGUUGUGGCAGAGUGGUUAAGGCCAUGGACUCAAAAUUAAUUGGGGUUUUCCUGCACAAGUUCGAAUCCUGUCAACUAUG